AGAGAGCACUGUUUUGCUGGGACUGUCUGGACGCAGUAACUUACGGCCUCUGUAAACUUUGAAGAUUCUAGCCGGCGGGUGCAGGGAUCUACUCGUUUCGCUGCCACUCAAGACACACCUGAAAGCUUCCUGUUUGGACUCCAUCAAAAGACUACCAGGAUGGCUAGAUUAGCAAGGAGAGGGAGAACGCUGGCAGAAGACCAAAGGAGAUGAAAAAGAUCAUCACUACUAAAACACCACCAGUAGAGUGACAUAGGGAAGGAGGGCUUUUAACAGAGCAUUCACAUGGGAAGAUCUUACAAAGAGUGAGUACCUUUUUCUUUAUUGUGUAUUGUACCUGUUUAAAACAACA